rnacentral:rRNA from 1 species
CCUACGGGAGGCAGCAGUGGGGAAUAUUGCACAAUGGGGGAAACCCUGAUGCAGCGACGCCGCGUGAGUGAAGAAGGAUUUCGGUAUGUAAAGCUCUAUCAGCAGGGAAGAAAAUGACGGUACCUGAUUAAGCCUCCCCGGCUAACUACGUGCCAGCAGCCGCGGGAAUACGUAGGGGGCAAGCGUUAUCCGGAUUUACUGGGUGUAAAGGGAGCGUAGACGGCAGCACAAGUCUGGAGUGAAAUGCCGGGGCUUAACCCAGGAACUGCUUUGGAAACUGUGCAGCUAGAGUGCAGGAGAGGUAAGUGGAAUUCCUAGUGUAGCGGUGAAAUGCGUAGAUAUUAGGAGGAACACCAGUGGCGAAGGCGGCUUACUGGACUGUAACUGACGUUGAGGCUCGAAAGCGUGGGGAGCAAACAGGAUUAGAUACCCGAGUAGUC